rnacentral:rRNA from 1 species
GACGAACGCUGGCGGCGUGCUUAACACAUGCAAGUCGAACGAAGAGCGAUGGAAGCUUGCUUCUAUCAAUCUUAGUGGCGAACGGGUGAGUAACGCGUAAUCAACCUGCCCUUCAGAGGGGGACAACAGUUGGAAACGACUGCUAAUACCGCAUACGAUCUAAUCUCGGCAUCGAGGAUAGAUGAAAGGUGGCCUCUACAUGUAAGCUAUCACUGAAGGAGGGGAUUGCGUCUGAUUAGCUAGUUGGAGGGGUAACGGCCCACCAAGGCGAUGAUCAGUAGCCGGUCUGAGAGGAUGAACGGCCACAUUGGGACUGAGACACGGCCCAGACUCCUACGGGAGGCAGCAGUGGGGAAUCUUCCGCAAUGGACGAAAGUCUGACGGAGCAACGCCGCGUGAGCGAUGACGGCCUUCGGGUCGUAAAGCUCUGUUAAUCGGGACGAAAGGCCUUCUUGCGAAUAGUGAGAAGGAUUGACGGUACCGGAAUAGAAAGCCACGGCUAACUACGUG